UACGUAGGGUGCAAGCGUUGUCCGGAAUUAUUGGGCGUAAAGAGCUCGUAGGCGGUCUGUCGCGUCGGCUGUGAAAACCCGGGGCUCAACCCCGGGCCUGCAGUCGAUACGGGCAGACUAGAGUGCGGUAGGGGAGACUGGAAUUCCUGGUGUAGCGGUGAAAUGCGCAGAUAUCAGGAGGAACACCGGUGGCGAAGGCGGGUCUCUGGGCCGUAACUGACGCUGAGGAGCGAAAGCGUGGGGAGCGAACCGG
rnacentral:rRNA from 1 species